UUAUAUCGGAGCAGCUGUCGCCCUCUAGUGUCCGACUAUCGGCGACGACGAGUGGCGCCUCCUGGGUCUUAGGGCCUGCCUUCAGGAGGAGCCGGUAAGUGGGGCUGGAGCGCUGCGCUGGCGGGAGAGGCCGGGCCGCAACGCCCACUGGCCCCUGAGCCGCGAGCAGAGCCGUGACCCGCACGCGGUGCCCCAUCCUCGGCCGAGUUGUCGCCCCCACGCACACGUGGUCGGUGGCGGGCCCCCCUUCUUUAGCCUCCCCAAGACACCCACUUCCAGCCAAAGGCCGGCAUUCCAGCAGCACCCGGCCGCCGCGCAGGGGGUUGGUGGAGUGCAGUCUUGGUCUCCGAGCUACUGUGGCGCCUGCUCGCUUUAAAAGCUAGAGCCAGUCUUGUCCGGGAUCGGGGUUUCUGGAAGGCGGCGACGUGGAGAAGGAGCCGGGGUGGGGGUGGGAGGCAGAGAACAGUUUUGAAGAUACGGCCCAGGGCACACCACCGUGUGGAGAGGCCCGGAGCGCGGUGAUUGAGCGUCUUUAUCUCUGGUCACCCACCGAUUCCGUGUAGCACCUCUCCCUGCUCUGCCUCUGGCAGUACUUCGGGGUGUCACGGGCUCCGCGGCGCCGGGCACUAGGACCCCGCGGGGAGCAGAGGGAAGGGGAGGCGGCCGCGGCCAGGGAGCCUGGUGGACUUGUCCGGUCUGACCGCCUGGGCUGGAAAACUUUUUCUUUUUAAUUAUUUCUUCUAGCCGGAGCGCUAGGGUUGCUAAGCGCGCGGGGCUGGCACGGCUACCCCGCGCGGGGCGGCCAAUUUUUCCCUGUGCGACGGGCGGAGCUGGAUUCCGGGGCUGGGGUACCGGGACGAGGGGAGCGCUCUGAAGGGGGAGGAGAACUUGCCUCCGGAACGGGGAUCCCGAAGAGGGCUGGCUGUCAACGGGCUGGAAUCCGUUGGCCUCUCCCCUAAUCCCUGUUCAGAUAUCCUAGUUCCAGCCACCAUGGUCUCUCGCCUGGACCACUGCAGCAGCCUCUAACCAGUGUCCCUGCAGUCCUCCUUGCCUCCCCCCUCCCCCAACCCAAGCAUCUCCACAAAGCAGCCUGAGUUACCCGUUGAACAUGUGCUGGGAUCAUGUCACUCACCUACUUCAACUUCCUGUGACCUCCCACUGCAUGUGGAAGAAGACGGGUGAUGUCUCAACCUGGCCACAAGGCCUGCAUGAUUUGGCCCUCACCUCUUCUUACUCCUCAGACUCUUCUUGGCUCCCAACUAUGCUCUUUGCAGAGCCUAGUGUCUCCCAGCCUCAGGGUGCUUCAGUUUGCUGUGCUGGCUCCCUGGAAUGUUCUUCCGAAAUGUUGGCAUGACUCCUUCUUCCUGUCAUUUGAGUCUCCCCUUCUUGAAGAGGUUCCUCUCAGAAUGCCAGCUCCACAGACAGGACCUUGUCUGUCCUGUUCCGCCUAUUUCCAGAGCUAGAACAGGCCUUGGCAUAUGGUAGAGCCUCAAAUAUUUGUUGACUGGACAGGAAUGGAUUCUAUUCAAGAAAACCCUUACCCGGCCAUCCUCCCAGAACUCAGCUUCUUCCCAAGCCUAGGAGGGGUGCUCAAGGGUGGCCCCAAAGGAUGCUGGGGAACACCCAACCCCCUGGGUAUCAGGAGCCUCUGAAGACAUGCGUGGCAAUACUGCCAGGGCCUGGAGGGUCUACACAGUGCCUCCUGGCUAACUGGAAAGAAGCCCCUCAGGCAGAUGCAGACCCCUGGGGCUUGGCUGAGCAGAAAGUGCCUUUGUCAGGAGGGGGCUCAUUUGUGUAGCGACAACUUCUCAGCCAGACAAGACAGCCCUGGAACCCCCUCUCCUCCCACUUUGGCUCCAGAGCAUCCCUAUCUGUAGGGCACUGCUGGGAGGGUGCCCAGGAGAGCAAGACUUAGUCCUUGGACAUGAGGCAUCAGAUCCACCUGGGAGGACAGGCCUGCCUCCUGCAGGCUCACGUGGGAGGCAGUGGCCGCCCCAGCAUGUAGACCUCACAACCCUACUGCUCAGGAGGUGGGGCCGGGCUCCUGGCCCACUUUUGUGCACCAACCAUUUGGAUCCCAUUCCUUCUCUUUGCUGAUUCCAAGGAUUUAUGCCUCAAGGUGCAUCUUAAAAAACAUCAAACAAAUAAAACUUAAAGAAGGCAAGAAACCAAAUUGCAAAUCAAAGCAAGAGUCUUUGGGUGCUGGCUCAUAGAGGGCUCAGUUCUAGCCCUCUUUCCUUGUGAUUGUACUGCUCCCCGGUCUCAUGCCCACCACACUGUGUGUAAAAC